UACAGACGGUCCAAACGUUAUUCGGAAUCACUGGGCUUAAAGAGUUCGUAGGCGGUCAGGAAAGUGGGGUGUGAAAGCCCUCGGCUUAACCGAGGAAUUGCGCUCCAAACUCCCUGACUUGAGGAGGCUAGAGGUAAGCGGGAACUGAUGGUGGAGCGGUGAAAUGCGUUGGAUAUCAUCAGGAACACCGGAGGCGAAGGCGGCUUACUGGGGCCUUUCUGACGCUGAGGAACGAAAGCUAGGGGAGCGAACGGGAGUUAAGAAACCC
rnacentral:rRNA from 1 species